rnacentral:ncRNA from 2 species
UAACGCAUAUAACUCCGAGUUUACUUAACCUACGUUUUGGUCUCAAAAUAGGGUGGUAAUGCCAAUAAUACGCAGUUCGUAUUAUUCAGGGAUACGUUGGAAACGAUUUAUCCUCUCCGUUUUUAGAAAGGUGUCAAAUGCAAACCAUU